UACUCAUCCCAAGGUUGUAUCUGGAGCCUG
rnacentral:piRNA from 1 species